UAGAAUACAUAUUAUCUCCAAAUCAAUGGUUCUCUGCUACAAUUACUCAAUUUGCAAAUCAUCAAUAUUUUAAAGAUUUUGUAGAACUUAUAAAUGCAGAUGAGCAAGCCUCUUUAUUGUGCAGUCCAUUCCAUGGAUUCAUUUGUGGAAAUAUGAAUAAGAAGCAAAACGACAAAUUUAGCAGCAAGUUAACACAUGAGUUCAUAAUGAGACUUAUAAACUGUGGUAAAAAUAACGAAGUUUGGGUACAACUAGACGAUCGUGUAGCUCGUUUUGGCCUACAAGAAUUUUGUCUCAUAACUGGAUUGCCAUGUCAUGAACCUACUGUUGAUCUAAAUGUUAGUAAUACUCGACUUAGAGAUGAUUACUUCGAUGGUUCAAAACGAAUAACUAUGAUAAGACUUUCUGAAGUAUUUCAUAUAUGUGAAGAUCGAGAAGAUAAAUUUAAGUUGGGAUUAGUUAUGUUUGUCGAAUGUGUUUUAA
rnacentral:lncRNA from 1 species